rnacentral:rRNA from 1 species
GAUGAACGCUGGCGGCGUGCCUAAUACAUGCAAGUCGAGCGAACAGAUGAGGAGCUUGCUCCUCUGACGUUAGCGGCGGACGGGUGAGUAACACGUGGAUAACCUACCUAUAAGACUGGGAUAACUUCGGGAAACCGGAGCUAAUACCGGAUAAUAUAUUGAACCGCAUGGUUCAAUAGUGAAAGACGGUUUUGCUGUCACUUAUAGAUGGAUCCGCGCCGCAUUAGCUAGUUGGUAAGGUAACGGCUUACCAAGGCAACGAUGCGUAGCCGACCUGAGAGGGUGAUCGGCCACACUGGAACUGAGACACGGUCCAGACUCCUACGGGAGGCAGCAGUAGGGAAUCUUCCGCAAUGGGCGAAAGCCUGACGGAGCGACGCCGCGUGAGUGAUGAAGGUCUUCGGAUCGUAAAACGCUGUUAUUAGGGAAGAACAAAUGUAUAAGUAACUAUGCACGUCUUGACGGUACCUAAACAGAAAGCCACGGCUAACUACGU